rnacentral:tmRNA from 1 species
GGGGGUGUUUUGGUUUUGACAGCGCUGAUGUUGGACGGUAAGCAUGUCGGGCCUCGGAACCUGUCCCGUAAAACGCAGAUUCCAAAAAAUCAGUUGCCAACAACAACUACGCACUCGCUGCUUAAUUGACCAAGUCAAUUAACUUAAUCCGCCUCGCCAAGGCUGCGGGGCCGACGAGUAUCCCUCGGCGCUUCCGCCUCAUAAGGGCCGAUCAAGGGGUAUCAUCCAUUUGAGGCUGCUCCGGCAGACGCCUCUAAAGCCGGCUAAGACUUAAAGGCUAAGGAAGAGUUUGCCCGCCUUCCGGCUGGCUCUCCCCUACAAACAAAGUAAGUAUAAGCAUGUAUAAAGCCGCCUGGCGCGACGUUUGGACAAGGGUUCGAGUCCCUUCACCUCCACUA